rnacentral:rRNA from 1 species
UACGAAGGGUGCUAGCGUUGUUCGGAAUCACUGGGCGUAAAGCGCGCGUAGGCGGCUUAGCAAGUCAGAGGUGAAAUGCCAGGCUCAACCCUGGAACUGCCUUUGAAACUGCUAAGCUAGAGUGUCGGAGGGAUAGCGGGAAUUGCUAAUGUAGAGGUGAAAUUCGUAGAUAUUAGCAGGAACACCGGUGGCGAAGGCGGCUAU